CCCCAGCCAGCUGCAGAAGACUAAUACAAAUGUGGUGGUAAAGAUGAAUAAUCAUAUGAUAACGUGUAACGUUAAGAUACCCAAUGUCAUGACCUGUAACCUUUCUGAAAAACCAACAUCCUGCUGACUAAUAGAUAUGACAAACCUGUGACCUUUCUGACAACCUGUCAACAUCAGCCAAUUCCCUGACCACAUGAAUAUUGUGUCCUUGGCAUGGGUAAAUGUUUCUUACUUCUCUCCUCUCUCUGUUACCCUUUUUAUGGUACAAAUUCAGCCUUGGGGAAAAAUAAAAUUGUCGCCUUGAUCAGACUCUUGUCGUGGAGUCCUUCGUCACGUCUCUUGUCCCUAAUUGUCUUCCAGGUACUCAGCACCCCUCGUUGACAGUAUGCACUCAUUGAUAAGUGGAAACUGACCAAAAUCUCGAAUUACCCAAGAUGCAAUCUACAGAUCUCAGGAAACUCAAGAAGAAGGAUGACCAAAGUGCAGAUGUUCCCACUCCUUCUUAAAAUGGGGAACAAAAAUAUCCAUAGGAGGGGAUAUGGAGACCAAAUCUAAAGCAGAGACGGAAGGAACAGCCAUUCAGAGUCUGCCCCACAUGUGGCCCAUAUGUAUACAGCCACCAAAACUAGGUUUUGGUAGGAAGGCAUCAUCCCAAAAUGUCAUCAGUAAGCAAGAGGAGUGUCUAAAGGAACUGGAGGAACUCAAAUUUGAAAUCCAGAAGUGUCAAUUCGAGAGGGAUGAACUUUAUCAAAUCCUGGAUCUUUAUAUCUAUGAUGAGUGGGACCACAGGUAGUCAUUAUGCCCAGUAACCUGUUAACUGUCUUGCGCUCUCUCUCUGCUACCUCAAGAUUUCCUCAUAGCACGAGAGAGUUUCACCUCUCAUCCUGGAUUUUAAGGAGAUUUGGCAGGCAUUUGCUUGUGAGAUAAGCUAGGUGCUGUGUGUUUAGGGUCAACCUCUUUUGUACUUGACCCUGAGCCUCUUGGAUUAGCGUUGGUUCUGUCAACAGCUAGAAGGACCUUGUCACACUUGCUGCAACUGUGUGUGUGAAUGAAAUGCCUGCACGUCAUCACUCUUUCCUCUGAAUUUGUUCAUUAUACACUGAUUCUAUGGCACCUCCAUGGAUGUAGUUGGCAUUCUAAAUGUGUUUGGAUAUGGGUUGCUAUGUGUGUAUGUGGAAGUAUAUGUGGUGUUUUACUCUGGAUCAGGACGUCUGGGACCUUUGAUGGGGUCUGAGGAUUUGUUUGAUCAACACUUUGCAGGUCAUGAUGGUGAUGAGUACGUGGAGGCCCACACUGAUCAACAGAGCACUUUACUCCUUCUGUAUACCUUGGUGGCACCCAGGACCCUCCCGAGGGGAGGAGGUGCUAUAAAUCCUCUUCCCUGUCAAACUUAGUUAUGCCCUCUGGGAAUUCACGUAACGAUAGAAACCAAGGAUUGAGUAUACCUGCUUUCAAAACAAGAGAAAUGUCAUCACAGCUUUCUCUUGGGCCCAAAGCUGUGGCACAGACUGGAGGAAUCUUCUUCCUGAACUAGUCAAUUCCAUCAUGCUCACCUGGCCAGCUCUUGAAGGUCAGGUCCCUCCAACUGGUACCGUGGCUCUGUUCUCCUGUGCCCAGGAUAAUAAACUUAACCAGUACAAAUACUUUGAAGGAGAAAGUAUGUGGUACAUACUGAGUUUAAGUAAUAGAGAGAACAGUCUGAUUUUACCUAAUUUGUUUCACCUGCUUUGAUCUUUAGUUUUUUAUUUUUUUAACUACCCAGGGAUUGUUUAUUGUGACCUAGAAAUGGUCACUGUGGUCUUGACAGAUGUUAUUCCCAAACAGGCAGCUCUCAGGCUCUGCCCCCUCCUAUAUAGUGAGUCUUUGCAGAACCAGAUCUCUCAGGAUUCCAAGGAGUCCUUAUUUCAAAACAAAUGUUUGCUUAUUUACAUAGAAAUAUUUUCUGUGGAUUGAGUCUCACUGUUGGGUUUUGGUCUGGUUUUUGACUUUGCCAUUUUCUUCCCUUCCACCAUUCCUUGAAUUUGAAAUUUUUUAUUAUAUAUUUUUAUUUACAUUUCACCUAAUUCUGAAAUCAUGAGUUCAAAACAUUAUUUGUUCCUUUGGCCAUGACCUAACCCAGGCUGCAUGUCGAAUUGCCAGUCCUUCAAUCUGAACAUGAGAUGAGAAUGAUGGCUAUGCAUAUGAUGACCAACUCAAUAAGUGAUACCAUGGAGAGGUACAAGGAGCUCAUACAAGUGAACAGUUCCUACCGCAUCAGGCACUCCCGGUUCCUGCGUGAACAAGCUCAAUUGGAGAACAAUAUACAGAUUUUGCUGAAUGAGAAGAGAGAACUGCUGGUGGAGAAGACUGAACUGCCAGCAUCCUCUGUGGAGGCAAAGAGGCUCUGUGAAGAGGCCGGUAUGAACAUCUGUGACCCCAGAGCCAAGCCACAGCAGGUAGGGUUAGGGCUCAGCGUCAGGGUGUCCUCAGGUCUUACCAUAACCAUAGACAAACCAAUGUAACUGUCUAUUGACUGAUCCAUGUCCUGACCUAGGUCUCAUCCAAGUGUUCAUUCAUGUGAUGGUUUACAAGGCUUUCUGUGGAGAUAGCCCCUUUUCAAGAAACUGCAUGUAUGGAAAGCAAAUGCUCCUGCUCUUCGAGAAUCUGCACUUCAUUAAGGGAGAUAGGUUGAUCACACAGCACAGCACUACAUGCUAUUAUGUAUGGAGGGUGCUAUGUGGGAGCCCUUCUUUAGACUAGAACAGGGCUUUGAGGGAUGAAGCAAAAGCCUGGGGCUCAUUUUCUUUUCAGGGAUCGUGUGAGACUCAGGAAGUAAGUAGUUUUCAAGGAGGAGAGCCUGGUGGAAAUGCCAAAGAAAUGGUUCUCAUUUUCAUUUGUGGUGGCUUUUGUUCUUCCUCCCCUCAUGUCCCUGUAUAUGAAGAUGGUGACUUCAUGCUUCAUAGAUCUUGGGUAACUACAGAGCCUGUAUAUCAGCAUGUCAGUCCUGUCUUAUUUGAGUGCUCCUGGAGAGUUCAUAACUGGGCCUUACAACCUGAAGCUGGUUAGAAGAGCAAAGAUGUGGAAAAGGUUUCUCAAAGGCUGAGGGUUGGCAUGAGAGACUUGAGGCUUCAAGAACAAUGUUAUCCAUAUGUACCCACAAUUCUCACCAAGAAAGGUGCAUUGCUGUGCUGACCUGCAUCUUUGGGAGCAUGCGGGGAGGCCAGUUCAUGACAUGCAGUUUUGUCCAGUCAUUAUCUAACUUAGUCCAUUAAGCCUAGGUCUCUCAACAAACAUGAAGCUUCCUGUUUUGUGCUGGCCAGCAGUCUUUGCAUCAUUCGUCCAGUUCCAAGUGGAGCCCCCUCUUUUAUUUGUCUCAACAUAUUCUUAAACCACUCAACUAUUUUAAAAAUAAGGAUUAGAUUUCUUCACUUUACCUGAACAGAGGUAUCCCCCAGGAAGAUUCUCGAUUGUCUUAUUGGCUUCACCAUGAUCUUGCAUGGAAUCCUAGAGUGCAACCCUCUGCUGACAUUGCUUUGCUGACUAUAUCAUGGGCACUGCAUCCUUUCAGGAUAGAUUCCCUCUCAAUAUUGUACACAGUACUGCAUUUCAGAAAAUUCACUGUAUGUUAUUUAUUUAGCCUUU